UGGUUAAAGUUACUUUUGUCCAAGUUUCAUUUUUUUAAGACCUAUAAAAACUACAGAUUUUUACAUAGCAAUUACCACGUAUAUUUAUUUUCACAGUGUCUGUCAAGUCUUUCUACUGAAGGAAAUGGACUCUUCAGCCAUUAAGAUGUUGUCUCUGGGUUUGAAAAUGACUACAUGUGUAUAAACGACAGCGGAGAAAGACCCUCCUGUUCCUUCCAUGGCCGCCAGCUGCUCCUUUCAGCCAGUGUCCCUCUCCUCCCCCAUCGCAGGCCAGCACACAGCUGACUCACAGGUUCCUCGCUGGACCUCCGUUCUAAAAGCAGUCACCCAACCGACACCUCCUGUGGAUACAGCAAGGCGACAAGGAGAAGUCCCUGCUCUAAAGUAUCUGCAAACCUGGGGAGGCGCUGACGUGCAGACAACUAGCCAUCACACACGUGGACAGAAAUAUCUGUUAUCAAAAGCAGAGUCUUGUGGAAAAACAGUGAAAUGAGGAAAGCACCACAGAGAUGGGAAAGCACCACAGAGAUGGGGACACUCCAUUUGAGCCUUGACGUGGGGAAGGAGAGCCUGUGGCUGAGAAAGGGGAUGAGCGUCAGCAGCCGCUGCAAGCUGCGUCCUGCUCAACUGAGCCCAGUCUGCACGGAGGCACGAGGGACACUCGGCCGAGGAGAAGCAGAUCACCAAGGACUGAGCAAGCACGUCGAUAGAAUGGGGGAAGCAAGAAGCAAGUACUGAAAUUGGCUCUUAAGGUCUAACCACCAAAACAACUUCUCUGGUAGCACCUUUUUAGAAAUGCUCUGAGAGUGCUAGCCGUCUGGCCUCACCUCCCCGAUGAUGCUGUCCGCCCCUCAGCCCAGCCCUCAGCCUCACUGAACAGUCCUGUCACUGGACUCAGAUGUCCGUGCUAGUCCCUGUGCGCGUGGGGCCCGAUCUCAACUUACAACUCCCAUCUCUCGGUUCAAACACUACCUCUACCGUUAGACAUUUCCGUCUGCUCCAAACAGAAAUAAGCCACUCCCGUUUCUCUAGUCCUACUGCUUUUUUUCCUCCAUACUUUCUAUUCAAUUGCGCUGUGAACCUAAAAUGUUCUAAAUUAAAAACAAUGACAACAAACAACAA